rnacentral:rRNA from 1 species
GGCGAGUGAAGCGGCAAAAGCUCAAAUUUGAAAUCUAGCACCUUCGGUGUUCGAGUUGUAAUUUGAAGAUGGUAACCUUGGGUUUGGCUCUUGUCUAUGUUCCUUGGAACAGGACGUCAUAGAGGGUGAGAAUCCCGUCUGAUGAGAUGCCCAUUCCUAUGUAAGGUGCUAUCGAAGAGUCGAGUUGUUUGGGAAUGCAGCUCUAAGUGGGUGGUAAAUUCCAUCUAAAGCUAAAUAUUGGCGAGAGACCGAUAGCGAACAAGUACAGUGAUGGAAAGAUGAAAAGAACUUUGAAAAGAGAGUGAAAAAGUACGUGAAAUUGUUGAAAGGGAAGGGCAUUAGAUCAGACUUGGUGUUUUACGAUUAUCUUCUCUUCUUGAGUUGUGCACUCGUAUUUCACUGGGCCAGCAUCGAUUCGGAUGGCAAGAUAAUGGCAGUUGAAUGUGGCUUCACUUCGGUGGAGUGUUAUAGCUUCUGCUGAUAUUGCCUGUCUGGAUCGAGGGCUGCGUCUUUUGACUAGGAUGCUGGCGUA